rnacentral:rRNA from 1 species
AGUGAACGCUGGCGGUAGGCCUAACACAUGCAAGUCGAACGGCAGCACAGAGGAGCUUGCUCCUUGGGUGGCGAGUGGCGGACGGGUGAGGAAUACAUCGGAAUCUACUCUGUCGUGGGGGAUAACGUAGGGAAACUUACGCUAAUACCGCAUACGACCUACGGGUGAAAGCAGGGGAUCUUCGGACCUUGCGCGAUUGAAUGAGCCGAUGUCGGAUUAGCUAGUUGGCGGGGUAAAGGCCCACCAAGGCGACGAUCCGUAGCUGGUCUGAGAGGAUGAUCAGCCACACUGGAACUGAGACACGGUCCAGACUCCUACGGAAGGCAGCAGUGGGGAAUAUUGGACAAUGGGCGCAAGCCAGACCCAGCCAUACCGCGUGGGUGAAGAAGGCCUUCGGGUUGUAAAGCCCUUUUGUUGGGAAAGAAAUCCAUCUGGUUAAUACCCGGGUGGGAUGACGGUACCCAAAGAAUAAGCACCGGCUAACUUCGUGCCAGCAGCCGCAGUAA